AUGAACGCUAGCUACAGGCUUAACACAUGCAAGUCGAGGGGCAGCAUGGUCUUAGCUUGCUAAGGCCGAUGGCGACCGGCGCACGGGUGAGUAACACGUAUCCAACCUGCCGUCUACUCUUGGACAGCCUUCUGAAAGGAAGAUUAAUACAAGAUGGCAUCAUGAGUCCGCAUGUUCACAUGAUUAAAGGUAUUCCGGUAGACGAUGGGGAUGCGUUCCAUUAGAUAGUAGGCGGGGUAACGGCCCACCUAGUCUUCGAUGGAUAGGGGUUCUGAGAGGAAGGUCCCCCACAUUGGAACUGAGACACGGUCCAAACUCCUACGGGAGGCAGCAGUGAGGAAUAUUGGUCAAUGGGCGAGAGCCUGAACCAGCCAAGUAGCGUGAAGGAUGACUGCCCUAUGGGUUGUAAACUUCUUUUAUAAAGGAAUAAAGUCGGGUAUGGAUACCCGUUUGCAUGUACUUUAUGAAUAAGGAUCGGCUAACUCCGUGCCAGCAGCCGCGGUAAUACGGAGGAUCCGAGCGUUAUCCGGAUUUAUUGGGUUUAAAGGGAGCGUAGAUGGAUGUUUAAGUCAGUUGUGAAAGUUUGCGGCUCAACCGUAAGAUUGCAGUUGAUACUGGAUAUCUUGAGUGCAGUUGAGGCAGGCGGAAUUCGUGGUGUAGCGGUGAAAUGCUUAGAUAUCACGAAGAACUCCGAUUGCGAAGGCAGCUUGCUGGACUGUAACUGACGCUGAUGCUCGAAAGUGUGGGUAUCAAACAGGAUUAGAUACCCUGGUAGUCCACACAGUAAACGAUGAAUACUCGCUGUUUGCGAUAUACAGUAAGCGGCCAAGCGAAAGCGUUAAGUAUUCCACCUGGGGAGUACGCCGGCAACGGUGAAACUCAAAGGAAUUGACGGGGGCCCGCACAAGCGGAGGAACAUGUGGUUUAAUUCGAUGAUACGCGAGGAACCUUACCCGGGCUUAAAUUGCAGAUGAAUUACGGUGAAAGCCGUAAGCCGCAAGGCAUCUGUGAAGGUGCUGCAUGGUUGUCGUCAGCUCGUGCCGUGAGGUGUCGGCUUAAGUGCCAUAACGAGCGCAACCCUUGUUGUCAGUUACUAACAGGUUCCGCUGAGGACUCUGACAAGACUGCCAUCGUAAGAUGUGAGGAAGGUGGGGAUGACGUCAAAUCAGCACGGCCCUUACGUCCGGGGCUACACACGUGUUACAAUGGGGGGUACAGAGGGCCGCUACCACGCGAGUGGAUGCCAAUCCCCAAAACCUCUCUCAGUUCGGACUGGAGUCUGCAACCCGACUCCACGAAGCUGGAUUCGCUAGUAAUCGCGCAUCAGCCACGGCGCGGUGAAUACGUUCCCGGGCCUUGUACACACCGCCCGUCAAGCCAUGGGAGCCGGGGGUACCUGAAGUGCGUAACCGCGAGGAGCGCCCUAGGGUAAAACUGGUGACUGGGGCU
rnacentral:rRNA from 1 species